AGGAAGUAUAAACUUUUAUCUCUUUGCGUGCUUGUUUUUAUUUUGUUCGACAUCUACAAGGUGAUUCUAGGGUUUGGAUUUCGGUUCAAUAGUUUUAAUUGUUAAAGCUAUUAAUAUAUUUAUUUUAAAAAUUUUAAAAUUUAAUUUUCACUGCAUGAUUGGAACCCAACAAUGAUUCCCCAUGACCUAAUUAAUUAGGAGUCCUAAUUCAAAUAUGAUUUAAAUUUUUUCACCCCUUAUCAUAUGAGGAAUCCUAAUG
rnacentral:lncRNA from 1 species